ACGAGUUGUUGCAUCUGUCCUGAAACAUCAAUCACGGUUCUUGAAAGAAUUGAGGUAUUGCACACAGAAUAGGUGAAAUAGCUUUC
rfam:Populus trichocarpa scaffold_107_contig_6, whole genome shotgun sequence.